GUGAUUACAACAAUACCGUAACAAACUUUUUUGAUGAUUGUUUGAGGUCAUUAUGAUGAUUUUGAAUUAGAAAGUUAAAUUUUGAACUUAAAUCUCAACUAGCUUUUUUUUUCCAGAGCUUUCAACUGCGUCUUCCUCAAUGGAUCAAGUUUUCUCAAUAAAGUAAAAAGCCAAUAUAUUGAUGGAAGUCAAGAUCUAGGCUCUACGUGAGUAGAUUCUUGGAGGGUUUUCUAUAGUUAUUAGGCAGAUUCUUGGAUGGUUUCUUGGAUAUUUAUUGGUAAUUUCUGGGAUGGUUUGUUGGUUUUAUUGGUAUUUUUGGGCAGGUUCUUGGAUGGUUUCUUAGAUAUUUAUUGGUAAUUUCUGGGAUGGUUUGUUGGAUAUUUAUUGUUAAUUCCUGGGUAGAUUCCUGAAUUGUUUUCUUAGAUAGUUAUAUUGGUUCUAUGUGGGUAUAUUCUUGGAUGGUUUCUUAGAUAUUUAAGUGUACACUCCGGAAACUCCAUCUGUUGAGGAAAACCAGGAGAUGUGUUUGAAAGCCCUGGGAAAAAAAGUUGUUUGGUUUGAGCUAAGAAUUUUUAUUUUGUGAUCACUAGAAAACAAAAAGAGAAAUAAUCACAUAUACUGUGCAUUCCUCCUGUAAAUGUUAUAUUUCAUAUUCUACACCACAGCAAACAUUAUGAUGCGUUUUUAAAUUGCGUGCACUUUCCCUUUAAUGUUUUCUUUUUCUACCACUGUAAGACAAAAAGUAAAAGAUCAUUAUUUACCUGUAAUGUUUUUAAUGUCAUCACAUCACCUGUUCAGAUUGGAAGUUAUCCAAUUUAAUGAGAUUAACUCCAAUCUUCCUCAAAACUACAGUUAACUGUUGAGGAAGAGUUUGGGUUUUUCCAGCGAUGGAAUGAAUGUUUUGGGAUUCUUCCAGCAGCAGAUUCAGUGUUGGUUUGUCCCCUGACUUUCCUCCAACAGACUGAUCUCAUGCUCGUAACAAACAUGUGAAGAAAUCCUCUCAGAAGUGGCUCGCUGACCCUGAAUCAGUCCAUUUCAAACAGACCAAAAAUAAAGGGUUAAAGGGUUUUAUUUUAAUUAUAAAAGCCAAAAAAAGGACCAAAAUGUACUUAAACUGUUUUAAUCUUGUUGGAAAUGUUUGUAUGUAACUGCCAAAUAAAUCUAUUGAAAGCAAAAA